GUGGGGAAUCUUGCGCAAUGGGCGAAAGCCUGACGCAGCCAUGCCGCGUGAAUGAUGAAGGUCUUAGGAUUGUAAAAUUCUUUCACCGGGGACGAUAAUGACGGUACCCGGAGAAGAAGCUCCGGCUAACUUCGUGCCAGCAGCCGCGGUAAUACGAAGGGGGCUAGCGUUUCUCGGAAUUACUGGGCGUAAAGGGCGCGUAGGCGGACAGCUUAGUCAGAGGUGAAAGCCCAGGGCUCAACCUUGGAAUUGCCUUUGAUACUGGCUGUCUUGAGUUUGGGAGAGGUGAGUGGAACUCCGAGUGUAGAGGUGAGAUUCGUAGAUAUUCGGAAGAACACCAGUGGCGAAGGCGACUCACUGGCCCAAUACUGACGCUGAGGCGCGAAAGCGUGGGGAGCAAACAGGAUUAGAUACCCCAGUAGUCC
rnacentral:rRNA from 1 species